rnacentral:RNase_MRP_RNA from 1 species
UCCGCGUUCAAAGAAUCGCAUUCAAAGCUCACGCACAGCGAUGGAGCUCCCUCCUUUCGAGGAGAGGGGGUUUUCUCUGUCGCAUACCACCUUGGCUUUGGGAGAAAGUCCCCGGACCACCCUACCUUUUGGGGAUUCGUUUCCCACAAAGAACGUUAGGACUUGCCGUGAGGCGCCGCCAUAAAAGCAUUUUCACCGCGGCUCUCUUCUUGUUGGUCUCUGCUUUCCACUCUCCUCUGGGCAACCUACUGUUCCUCAGCCUUCGACCUCGUCCCGUCGUUUGUAUUCCUUGGCGAUGACCGGAAUCUGUUUUCACGUCGCCGUGCUUGACGCUUACAUCGAGGUAUCUGGAUGGACGAAGAUACGAGUCCGUCCCAUUAGGGUUUCGGCUAGAUAUCUCUUUUGACGCUGAGGGCCGGUGGUGAUUUGGGUUCUUGGGCAUCACGGGGAAGAGACGGCGAGGGUUUUAUACUGGAAGUGCUUGGGACAUUGGCUGCUCCGAGGGUUCAAGAGUGCUGAAGGUUGCGCAAUUCGUCACAUGAGUAUAGUUAUGCGAUUGCUCUUUUUUUCUCUUGCCCGGGGUUUGGAAACAGGUUUUGGGCGAGAGAAAGAGAGGGUAACUCGACGGGGCUUAUUCUUGAGACGCGG